UUUGAAGAUGGCGACGAAGGAUGAAAGAGGAUUUGGAAAACGAAUAAACAGAUAUUUUGCCUCAUCACAAAGUUUAAGGGCUAAAUUGUUAGUGUCUGAUCAAACAGUAGUUUGGACUCCAGUCUGAAAAACCCUAGAUUCUGACAAUGUUUCUUUCAAUUUGUGACUGGGCCAAACAAAUAACACGGUGGAGGGAACUCUUAAAACACACAGACAGUGACACAGAAAAAGCCACUACAAGCAUCUGAAGAUGAAUCUGAGAAUGGCACUACAGAUAUAGGUUGUGAACCAGCUCUAGAGUUUCAACAUACAGAUCUUAGCCUAUGGUACAUGUAUUCAUUCUCGUCCCUGGUGACACUUGCUGACGGAAGGAAAAUCAUAUUUCUUACAUUUACAUGUUUUGUUCAUGCCUGUUCCUUUGCAUUUGCACCCAUGCUUGUUUUGCAGCAGCAUGC